UCCCUCCCGGAGUGGCUGUGACAGCAGCGGCAGCAACAGCUUCUACGCAGUGCGUGAUGUCUCAACUCUCCCCAGUACCCUCUAGGUCCGUGGGGCCGCCUUUGGGAUUGCUGGGGUGGGGGCAAUGGCAAAACUGGCAGCCGCGGAGCUCCUCCAAUAGUCAGGUAGACGGGCCCCUAGAGCCCCAAAGGCCAAACCGCUGCGGCGGGCCCUGAAGUCGUGGGCGUUUCUGAAGACGUGGCUGCGACACGGGGAGUGUGGAUCUGCGCCCCGGCCUGCUCUCACCCCUCCCUGAGAAGCAUCUGGGCCUUCCUUUUCCCUCUACAGUGACCCAGUCUAACGCUUCCUACCACUCAAAAGGCUACACCUCCGACGGUGCUGGAAAGAGACAGAAAUUCAUUCUUUUUCGGAAGUCAGUUUUGUUCUUGGAGAAGGCAGCGGGGCCAGAGAGGGACAGCGCAGCGUUUUCGCUGCGGCCCUGAUCUCCUGAGCUGCCAGCCCAAGGUGGAGGACCCUGUGGCCAUUUCAUCCCUACCCUACUUCCCAAUAAGGCCCCGCAUUGUGACCUCUAAAGGUAGGCUCGUAAGAAAGUGAGAUGAGGUCCCAAAGCCCCUGAACACAACGCGGCUUGUCCAAGCCAGUUGGGAGAGACACCUUCUCCACUCCUCGUUCCUAGGAGGUGGAGUGGGCAGUUAUGCUUCGUGCUACCCAGACGUGGUCCAGUUACUUGGACGCUUUUAUAUUUUAAGCAAUUCUGUCUAAUACAUUAACAACAAAGAGCCCCAAAGAGGGUGUUAAUGCAGCUUCUGUCAGAUCAGAGGCAACAUAAGUUGGUGGGCUGGAAGGAAAGCCUCGUGGAAGAGAAACCCAUCUUUGCAGUUCCAGACUUGUUUCUCUUUAUUGGAACGAGUUGGGAUAGAACAAGCUGUUCAUGUUCAUCCGUUAGUUGCAAAGCAAAGCAUUAGUCGAUAUUCAGGGGUAGAUUUGGGGGUGCUGAGCUUGUGUGCCCUGCACAGGCCAAGGUCCUCUCACGCUGUCCCCAGACUGGACUGUCAGGGGAGAAUUAACUUAGCGAAGGACCCCAUUCUGGGCCUGAUGGAGGGUCGUUGUCCCGGGUGUCAGGAGGAGGAGGGAGCCCAGGCAACACGAGGGCAGGCCAUGUGGCUCUGCCCCGCUGAGGCUCGCAGAUUCAGUCCGGAAACCCUGGGGUCUGGAGCGCCUGGAGCUGGCUGAAGGGUUCAGACUUCUGGGGGAAGUGAGGGCAAGAGGCAUCCCUCCCGUGGGGGUGAACAAGGCAGUGCUUUCAUGGGAGGUGUGACUUGCAGGGUCUGUCUAUCACCAUUUUUACAAAUAUUCAGAAACAAUGCCCACAGCAUGCUGACUGGCCUGCUUGGAGAGCUCCUGCGGCAUUUUAAAAUGAGAGCCCGUCUGGAAAGUGGAUUCUACUUGACCUCCACUUCAUAGAGUGCAGGCAGGUAUCCUUAAAACAAAACUCAUUAUGAUAAGUUACCCUUUUGUUUUCAUCUUCUGCCUGUAGGAUUUUAUCUCUAGGAAGUAGAGAAUAAGGCAGAAAUUCUGCCCCACUCUACCCAGUGUUCUCUCUUAUAAAUCUGAAUUGCAGAUUAUUCCGCAAUUCUUAUUUGAAGGUGGCUGCAGAAAUCUUGAAAAUUUUCCACCUUUACCUUUCUUUUUUAAAGAUCAAUCUCAAAUCUUAAUUUUGUUUUUCUUUUCCCUUUGCUUGAAGUCUUAAAACUAAAGAGAUUGAAUAAUUGGACUUUUUCCUUUGUGGCUAUGGACAAGCAUGACAGGAAAGUGUGGGCAAAGUGUAAAGGGAAACCUUACCUGACCAAGGGGAAUUGGGGUGGGGAAUUGGGGUUGCGGGAUGGAAAUGAGGGCAGAGAAGCUGGAGGAGAAACGGAGUCCUCUGCAGCUAGCAGCCAGGGAUCCUUAGCCAGCCAGACUUGCAGAGUCAUCAAUCUCCAAGACUAGUUCUUAAACAAAUUAACCCAGCCCUGUUCUGAGCAACUAAACUUCUAGGGAAUGAAGAGCUCCUGGCUGCUGGGCACCAGGGAUCCCCGGGGGCUGAGGCUGCGCUCUGGAUGCCAGAAUGCUUACAAGAGGGCUGAAAAUGAAUGACCUAACUAGAACCAUCUCGGCAUGGAAUCUUCCUGACAGAGUCAUAAUCAAUGACUUCAGUUCUGAGAAGAAAUUUCUCUUGAGCUCUUUGAAGAAAUGGACGAAGAGAAUGAGAGGGGUUUUCAGUGCCUACAUGUUCCUUUUUGAGCAGAAGGCUGUGGCUUGCCAAAUGAAUUACCUCUCAAAAUGUCUGGGGCUCAAUACUCCCUGCUUUGCAAGGCUGUAAUAUUUCCUGGUCCCACCCUGUUCAUCUGCAGCUAUAUCCUACGUAACAUUUUAUCUAACAAUUUUCUUGUCCACACUUGCUGGGGGAAAGCAUCCCUAGUUCUAAAAUCCUAAUUUCAGGCUCUUAAAAAACGGUUUUAGAAAUUUCCCCUCGGGGCUGAACUCAGCCUGACUUGAAGAACGUUAGUGGAGAACUGCCUUCUUUGGGAAUACUGGAUUAAUUGAAAUUAAAUCAUUUUGUCUACUUCUAAAACAAAUUCCCUGAAAAAAAAAAAAGAACUGAAAACAAAAAAGUUUUUCUUUUGCACUUGGAUUAUUCAAAACGAGCUUUGUUUUCAAAACUGCAAACUUGGCAUGUUAGCAGUCCUUCCUGAGGAAUGUGUGCUGUGUUAAAAAGUGAAAAAAAAAAUACUGUUAGAAGAAACAGAGUUAGGAAUCUCCUACUGAGCAGAUGCAGUAAGUAUGUAUGUAUCUGUAUUUUUACGGUCUGAAUGUGUACCCACUGGCAUUCUCUUAGCAACAUUCAUCUAUAAAUACUUUUAGAGAAGGAAAAGAAACAUGCAUAUACUAUAGAAUUGUUAGCAAGGUGGUAAAUUUGGGAGCUGGGAUUGCACAAAAGGUGAGUGCUUGAGUCUCUCUCUUCCUACUCUUUCUCCUUAUUCUUUGGAUGACCUACCACCUGUAGGCUGGCUUAGAGUUCUAUGAAAUAAUUUCUCUGAAUUGCAUGAACGUGGCACAGGAGUGUUCACACAGAAGGGGGCGCAAAUUGGAGAAGGCUGCAGUUGAAUGGACAUCUUAGAUUUCAUCUUGUUUUGAACACUCCAUGGGGGAUUGCCUAGUUUGAUGGUUAAGUAAGAGAAUUUUUUCAAAGCGGAGUAUGAAGUCUGUGUCAGCACAAGUGACUUGGUUUGGUGACACAGGCAGCCUUCGUGUUUGAACACCUUACCCUAAAGAAGAGGUCAUCCUCUUUCUCUUUUCAUGGUAGUUUAAUUCAUGAAUCUAACUGAUUCUAUAUUUCUCUUUCCAAACUUCUUUAAGGAUCAGGAACUAAAAUGAUCAAAUGUGAAGCUUUCAGUCUGGAAGUAAAAUGAAAAAGGAUAAAGCAUAAGAAAUUGAGUUGCCAGGAGCACCUUAAACAAGCAAAUCAAAUUUCAAAUAAAUUAAUCUUUACAAUAUCUAACAUUGUGCGUUCAAAAUGAAGGUAAGAUCAAGAAACAGCAUAUGCUGAACUUGUCUUUAUAGAGGAAUCAGAGUGUGGAAAAAUAUGGUGUCUUGAAGAGCCUCCUCCCCACCCAGCUUUUAUUAACUUGUUGGGUGUGCAGGCUAGAGAGACUGCCCUGUCUUUGCUGCCAGUUAACCUUGGUGACAUACACAUUCACCUAUUUCAGAGAGCUGCUGGAGUAACUGAAGAAAUAAUGUAAGAAAUAUGUACUUAUUCAUAGCGGCUUUUAUCAUGAUCAUAGUUUUCCUACUUAGUAAGCGUUUUUAUCUUUUCUGUCUAAUCAUCAAGCAAUUUAAAUAUAAAUCUAAUGGUUUAUAUUCUGUGUUUUUCCAGAUAAAGUUCCUACUCUGAUUACUCCUAACUUUCAUCUCUCUACACUUCAAGGGAUUUCCUUUUUUCACAAAUGGCUUUUCCUGAAGCCUUAAAUCCUAUUUCCAUUGUUUUGAUUGAUUCUUCCUGCACAAAACAUGUUGUUUUUGCCAGUGACCACAAGAGGACACAAUUUCCUAGAGAACUUUGUUUAAAAAGACACUUGUAGAAGGCUUACAAAAUAGCAAAAAAUAUUGCACAGUGAAUGUCAUUUUGGGGAUGCCUAUUUCAUUUAUGUCACUUUUCUUAAUUAAGUAACUUUGAUGUAAACUAAAAAAAUUAAAACUUAAAAAAUAAAAAUCAUUUUAAAAAUAAAUGAAAAAACCAUAUAUACACAUAAGUUGGUAUUCAAACCUGGGAUGUCUUGGAAGAUUUUAUCUUUUUAUUGUGGAAAAUAAAAGAAGAACAUGUAUGAAAAUAUACUAAAAAGUACCAUUUUAAGGGAAAACAUUUAUUUUGCAUUAGUAGAGGUUUGUACAAAACUCUGAGUGAUCUGGAAUUUUACUUGCUCAAUUUUAGAGCCAUGUUUGGCAAUGAAAAACAAUCUUUUUUAAAAAGUAUGUUACUAUUCCAGAAUACCUUUGAAAGUUUGAAUUUUUAGUUUCAGCAUUUGGGUUGUCUUUAUGUGAACAAAUGCAUGGAAAUUAUGUUUUAUGAUUUGCCAGUUCUAUUUUAACGCAUGUCAUAAGAACUAAAUUAUUUUUGAAAGAUAUGGAAAAAUAGGAUAUUAAGAUACAGAUUCCCAACACUUCCCCCAAAUUAUGAUACACACUCUUUAAUUUAAGGUCACCGUCCUCUUUCCUAUUACUUCUUCUCAAAAAAGAUUUCAGAGCAUCUGAUUACUUUGUAAAUUAAAUUAAAAUGAAUUAUGUCUUGAUAUUUUUUUAGAUGAAUUUUCUAAUUCUGGUAGAAUGCCCUUGACAGUCAAACUGGGGAAUCGCUGCUUCAUUUGGAACUCAAUGCUUUUUUUGUUUUGCAUUUGUGUCUUCUUGCAGAUACAUUCCUAAUCACACUCUCUGAGACCCUGCUGGAGGAACUGAGCUGUGGACCAGAGAUGCUGGAAAGAGAAGAAAAGAAAAGGACAAGAAGGAAAAACCAGAGCAAAAAUGAGAACAAGACAGAGAAGAAUGUGAAGAGCGUGUAAGAGGGCGCUGGGACAACUGGUGGGAGACCGAAAGAGAAAAAGAAUAAGGCUUAAUAUGGAGGGGUCAGUGACAAGAGAAAAGGCUUACAUCUGAAAGGAAAGAAAGAAAUGCAUUUAGUGGGAAAUAGAAAAGCACCUGGAUUAUUUGCCUCAGUUUCUGCUCACAGAGAUUGUUGUAAGUAGCUACCUGUCCCUUGGUGUAGGCAUUUGAUUUUAAAAAUCCCUGUCAUUCUCGCUGAAGUGCUAACAAAAAGUAAGGAACUUGGUGGAGGGCUGGGAAACUUUUAAUUGAGGGUAAUGUUCCUUGAAUAGAUACGGUCUAUCUGGAAUUAGAGUAAAGGUAUUACAUGUUGUCGUUCUUGCCUCUCAAGAUGGUAGAGGGGAAGACGUCUGGGGGGACACUUGAUGCCAUUACUGUGUGAAAAAUGCUUUGAAUUAUGGUAGGAUUUUAGAAAUCCUGGCUCAUUGUUUUCUAUUUGACCUCCAUAAUGGAGAUCAAACUUGGUGUUUUUUCCCUGUGGUUAGCCAGCAUCAAUGCCUUUGUCUUCCCCACCUCAGAUACCUCAAGGAAGACAUAGUUGUAGUGAUAUAUUUUAUUCUCACUCACUCCUACUCAAGACCUUGAGAGAUUGUGAGGUUCUGGUUCUGCCUAAUGGUGCAUUCAGGAGACCUGAAUUGUGGUUUCAACUGGCACUAAUUAGUUAUAACGUGUCUAUUGAUUCUUUCAUAAUUUAACAAAAAUGUGUCCAUCUCUAAUUAUGUUAGGUACUUGGAGUAAGAAUAUUUAGCCCCUGACAUCAAGGAUGUCACAGACUAAUGAGAAAUAAAAUCUGAAAACUGUUUUGUGGCAUGGAGAGCUAACUACUGUGAUGGAUAUUUCAAAGAGUGCCAAGGACCCUGGACCUGGUCUGAGGUGACAGGAUGCCUUGGUGCAUUGGGAGAUUACCCCACUGCAAUGAUAGCCUCCAAAUAUAUUUCCAGGAAGCUUGUCCCAGCCAGAGACACACACAGAAAGGCCCACAGACCAAGUGAAGAUGUACAUAUCAACCUGGUUUAUUAAGUUGAUUAGGAACAUACAGUAAGAAAGGGAAUUACAGUAGGUUAAUAUACUAGAAUAGGUAGCAAACAGGCAGGAAGGGCCAUGCUACCCAAAUCCUGGAGUACACAGGUUCACGGUGACUCUGCCCUCCAGCAGCCUUCCUUGCUGAUGGUGUGGUUAAGAGGUCCAAAGUGAG
rnacentral:lncRNA from 1 species